GCAAGUCGAACGGUAGCAGGCCUUUCGGGGUGCUGACGAGUGGCGGACGGGUGAGUAAUGCGUAGGAAUCUGCCCAGAUGAGCGGGACAACUUGGGGAAACCCAAGCUAAUACCGCAUAAUCCCUAAGGCGGAAAGCAGGGGACCGAAAGGCCUUGUGCAUUUGGAUGAGCCUACGUCGGAUUAGCUAGUUGGUGUGGUAAAGGCAUACCAAGGCGAUGAUCCGUAGCUGUUCUGAGAGGAUGAUC
rnacentral:rRNA from 1 species